UCUUUAAUCACGGCAUACCAACAUUCGC
rnacentral:sRNA from 1 species